rnacentral:lncRNA from 1 species
GCUGCCCGGAGUCCUGCGUCCCGCUGCCCCGCAGACAGCUCUGUUUAGAAGUGAUUAAGGACGCGAGCCAGGGAGACUGGAUGGAAAAGGGUUAGAGGAACCUCAGCCACACCAUCUGGAGGCCCGGCGGGCAUGCACACCUCCUCCAGGCAGCCCCCCCGCCACACACACACCCUAGGAAACGCUCUGAACACCUCGG